rnacentral:rRNA from 1 species
UGCUACAGGCUUAACACAUGCAAGUCGAGGGGCAUCAGGAAGAAAGCUUGCUUUCUUUGCUGGCGACCGGCGCACGGGUGAGUAACACGUAUCCAACCUGCCCUUUACUCGGGGAUAGCCUUUCGAAAGAAAGAUUAAUACCCGAUGGCAUAAUGAUUCCGCAUGGUUUCAUUAUUAAAGGAUUCCGGUAAAGGAUGGGGAUGCGUUCCAUUAGGUUGUUGGUGAGGUAACGGCUCACCAAGCCUUCGAUGGAUAGGGGUUCUGAGAGGAAGGUCCCCCACAUUGGAACUGAGACACGGUCCAAACUCCUACGGGAGGCAGCAGUGAGGAAUAUUGGUCAAUGGGCGCUAGCCUGAACCAGCCAAGUAGCGUGAAGGAUGAAGGCUCUAUGGGUCGUAAACUUCUUUUAUAUAAGAAUAAAGUGCAGUAUGUAUACUGUUUUGUAUGUAUUAUAUGAAUAAGGAUCGGCUAACUCCGUGCCAGCAGCCGCGGUAAUACGGAGGAUCCGAGCGUUAUCCGGAUUUAUUGGGUUUAAAGGGAGCGUAGGUGGACUGGUAAGUCAGUUGUGAAAGUUUGCGGCUCAACCGUAAAAUUGCAGUUGAUACUGUCAGUCUUGAGUACAGUAGAGGUGGGCGGAAUUCGUGGUGUAGCGGUGAAAUGCUUAGAUAUCACGAAGAACUCCGAUUGCGAAGGCAGCUCACUGGACUGCAACUGACACUGAUGCUCGAAAGUGUGGGUAUCAAACAGGAUUAGAUACCCUGGUAGUCCACACAGUAAACGAUGAAUACUCGCUGUUUGCGAUAUACAGUAAGCGGCCAAGCGAAAGCAUUAAGUAUUCCACCUGGGGAGUACGCCGGCAACGGUGAAACUCAAAGGAAUUGACGGGGGCCCGCACAAGCGGAGGAACAUGUGGUUUAAUUCGAUGAUACGCGAGGAACCUUACCCGGGCUUAAAUUGCAGUGGAAUGAUGUGGAAACAUGUCAGUGAGCAAUCACCGCUGUGAAGGUGCUGCAUGGUUGUCGUCAGCUCGUGCCGUGAGGUGUCGGCUUAAGUGCCAUAACGAGCGCAACCCUUAUCUUCAGUUACUAACAGGUCAUGCUGAGGACUCUGGAGAGACUGCCGUCGUAAGAUGUGAGGAAGGUGGGGAUGACGUCAAAUCAGCACGGCCCUUACGUCCGGGGCUACACACGUGUUACAAUGGGGGGUACAGAAGGCAGCUAGCGGGUGACCGUAUGCUAAUCCCAAAAGCCUCUCUCAGUUCGGAUCGAAGUCUGCAACCCGACUUCGUGAAGCUGGAUUCGCUAGUAAUCGCGCAUCAGCCACGGCGCGGUGAAUACGUUCCCGGGCCUUGUACACACCGCCCGUCAAGCCAUGGGAGCCGGGGGUACCUGAAGUACGUAACCGCAAGGAUCGUCCUAGGGUAAAACUGGUGACUGG